GCGCGGCCCGACCCAGGCACUGAGCCACGUACUCGGUGCGCAGCCGCUGGCACCGCGCAUCCGCCGUGCAAGCCUCGGCCGCGUCCAGGCAUCGGUUCCGUCCGGCCGAGCUGGGCGACCCUAGGGGAGGGGCGGGCAGCUGCUGGUCUCAGUGAGCCCUACCGGUGCGCUGCACCUGCGUCCCCCGCACGCCCCCUAAAGAUGCGGGGCGCUGCGGACUGAGGAGUGCGGUGUGGCUCCAAGGCGUGACCGGCUGGCACUGACCGGCCUUCCCUCGCGGGGCUGGGUGGCGGCGGGCCCUGGGGAGUCCUGCAACACGUUGCGGACGCGUGAGGAGCGCCAAGACUCAGCUUGGCCUCCCCAUCCUCCCCACGCACCAGUCCUGCCGCAGAACGGCCACGCCCGUCCAAAGAGGGUCCGCGGGGCUCCUGCCACUCUCCUAGGCCCCGCCCGACGCGGAAACAGAGCCGGGCUUUGGGGAACUUGGCUAAUGGACUUUUAUCUGAAAUGGCGUUGAGAACGGUGGCUACUCCUCUUUCUCUCUGACGCGCUGGGACACCGGAGCUUUCUUCCUGUCUUCUCGGCCCUUGCCCAAGGACAUCGUUUGAGAUCUGGGUCGCCAAAACCAGGGUACCCCCGCCCCUCGGAGCUCUGCGCUCAGCAGAAGUUCUCGAGUCAGGCCCCACAUCCAUCUGGAAAAGCGACCCCUAACUCCACGAUGCCCCUGCUGCGGAAGGGGAAGCCAAGCAGGUGGAACAGCAGAUGCGUGGCACCAAGGAAUGAGUGUGAAGCUCCAAGACUGAAGAUGGAGAGUAGGGGUUGGGGGAAGGGUUCCAGUGUGGCUCGGCAUGACACAAUCACUGAUCUGGUCUUCAGUUAAAACUCUGAUGUUUUGUUCAUCAUUGAUUUUGGCAUUAAUUUUGCUUUUAAAAAUUUUACAUUAAAAUAUCUCUCAUCUUGA